GGAAGGGUUGUCAGCCCCGGGGCUUCGGGACGCUGCGGGCAGAGAAAAGCGCCCUCGCGGUCCAGGGCUCCCCGGGGCCCGGGGUGGUGAAGGAGAACAGAAACACGCCACGCAGUGUCGCGCACCGUGGGCGAGCGAGCGAGCGAGCGAGCGGUCGGGCGAGCCGGCGAGCGGGCGGGCAGUCCCUGCCCGUCCGCCCGCCCGCCCGUCGCUCGCCUCCCCGCCCCCCGGCUUCCUGCGGAGGCCGCGGCCGCCAUGUUGUUGUAGGGCUGAGGCGGCGCCGGCGGCGGAGCCCAGCGGCCGUGACAGGCUGCGCAACAGGUUCGCUGCGGCCGGGACUGACUGACGGAGGGACUGACUGACCCGGCGGCGGCGGCCCGCACAGCGAGGGGGGUCGGCCGGCCGGGCCGUGCGCGGGUGUGCGGAAGAGGAGCAGGAGCAGGGGCGCGCGGCGGGGUCGCGCGGGGACGCGCGCCAGGCGCCAGAUGGCUGAGAACUGCAAGAAAAAUUCAGGACCAUGAUGGCUCAGUUUCCCACAGCUAUGAACGGAGGGCCGAAUAUGUGGGCUAUUACCUCUGAAGAACGCACUAAGCAUGACAAACAGUUUGAUAACCUCAAGCCUUCAGGAGGUUACAUAACAGGUGAUCAAGCCCGUACUUUUUUCCUGCAGUCAGGUCUGCCGGCCCCAGUUUUAGCUGAAAUAUGGGCCUUAUCAGAUUUGAACAAGGAUGGGAAGAUGGAUCAGCAAGAGUUCUCCAUAGCUAUGAAACUCAUCAAACUAAAGCUUCAAGGGCAGCAGCUGCCUCUAGUUCUCCCUCCUGUUAUGAAGCAGCCCCCCAUGUUCUCCCCACUCAUCUCCGCUCGUUUCGGGAUGGGAAGCAUGCCCAAUCUGUCCAUUCCUCAGCCAUUGCCUCCAGUUGCACCUAUAACAACACCCUUGUCUUCUGCAACUUCAGGGACCAGUAUUCCUCCCUUAAUGAUGCCUGCUCCCCUAGUGCCUUCCGUUAGUACAUCAUCCUUACCAAAUGGAACCGCCAGUCUCAUUCAGCCUUUAUCCAUUCCUUAUUCUUCUUCAACUUUGCCUCAUGCAUCAUCUUACAGUCUGAUGAUGGGAGGAUUUGGUGGUGCUAGUAUCCAGAAGGCCCAGUCUCUGAUUGAUUUAGGAUCUAGUAGCUCAACUUCCUCAACUGCUUCCCUCUCAGGGAACUCGCCCAAGACUGGUACCUCAGAGUGGGCGGUUCCUCAGCCUUCAAGAUUAAAGUAUCGGCAGAAAUUUAACAGUCUAGACAAAAGCAUGAGUGGAUACCUCUCAGGUUUUCAAGCUAGAAAUGCCCUUCUUCAGUCAAAUCUGUCCCAAACUCAGCUGGCUACUAUCUGGACUCUGGCUGACAUUGAUGGUGACGGACAGUUGAGAGCCGAAGAGUUUAUCCUAGCGAUGCACCUCACUGACAUGGCCAAAGCUGGACAGCCGCUUCCGCUGACUUUACCUCCUGAGCUCGUCCCUCCAUCCUUCAGGGGGGGGAAGCAAAUUGAUUCCAUUAACGGAACUCUGCCUUCAUAUCAGAAAACACAAGAAGAAGAACCUCAGAAGAAAUUGCCAGUUACUUUUGAGGACAAACGCAAAGCCAACUAUGAGCGCGGAAACAUGGAGCUGGAGAAGCGACGCCAAGCCCUGAUGGAGCAGCAGCAGAGGGAGGCCGAGCGGAAAGCCCAGAAAGAGAAGGAAGAGUGGGAGCGCAAACAGAGAGAAUUACAAGAACAGGAGUGGAAGAAGCAGCUGGAAUUGGAAAAACGCUUGGAGAAACAGAGAGAACUGGAGAGGCAGCGGGAGGAAGAGAGGAGAAAAGAGAUAGAAAGACGAGAGGCAGCAAAACAGGAGCUGGAAAGACAGCGUCGUUUAGAAUGGGAAAGAAUCCGUCGGCAGGAGCUUCUCAAUCAGAAGAACCGAGAACAAGAGGAAAUCGUCAGGCUGAACUCGAAGAAGAAGAGCCUCCACCUGGAGCUGGAAGCAGUGAGUGGAAAACAUCAGCAGAUUUCAGGCAGACUUCAAGAUGUCCGAAUCAGAAAGCAAACACAAAAAACUGAGCUAGAAGUUUUGGAUAAGCAGUGUGACCUGGAAAUUAUGGAAAUCAAACACCUUCAACAAGAACUUCAGGAAUAUCAAAAUAAGCUUAUCUAUCUGGUACCUGAGAAGCAAUUACUAAAUGAAAGAAUUAAAAACAUGCAGCUCAAUAACACACCUGAUUCAGGGAUGAGUUUACUUCAUAAAAAAUCAUUAGAAAAGGAAGAAUUAUGCCAAAGACUUAAAGAACAAUUAGAUGCUCUUGAAAAAGAAACUGCAUCUAAGCUCUCAGAAAUGGAUUCAUUUAACAAUCAACUGAAGUGUGGGAAUAUGGAUGACUCUGUUCUUCAGUGCCUUUUGUCUCUGCUAAGCUGUCUCAACAACCUCUUCCUCUUACUUAAGGAACUGAGAGAAAGCUAUAAUACACAGCAGUUAGCCCUCGAACAACUUCAUAAAAUCAAACGUGACAAAUUGAAGGAAAUUGAAAGAAAAAGAUUAGAGCAAAUACAGAAAAAGAAACUAGAAGAUGAGGCUGCAAGGAAAGCAAAGCAAGGAAAAGAGAACUUGUGGAGAGAAAGUAUUCGAAAGGAAGAAGAAGAAAAACAAAAGCGACUUCAGGAAGAAAAAUCUCAGGAGAAAGCUCAAGAAGAGGAGCGAAAAGCUGAGGCAAAACCAAGUGAGGGUGGGACAGCCAGUGCUUUGGUGAAUUACAGAGCAUUGUACCCCUUUGAAGCACGGAACCAUGAUGAGAUGAGUUUUAAUUCCGGGGAUAUAAUUCAGGUUGAUGAAAAGACUGUAGGAGAGCCUGGUUGGCUUUAUGGCAGCUUUCAGGGAAAGUUUGGCUGGUUUCCAUGCAACUAUGUAGAAAAAAUGCCGUCCAGUGAAAAAGCUCCAUCUCCUAAGAAGGCCUUACUUCCUCCUACAGUAUCUCUCUCUGCUACCUCAACUUCCUCCCAACCACUUUGUUCAAAUCAACCAGCAUCAGUGACUGAUUAUCAAAAUGUAUCUUUCUCAAACCUUACUGUUAACACAUCAUGGCAACAAAAGUCAGCUUUUACUCGCACUGUGUCCCCUGGAUCCGUGUCCCCCAUCCAUGGACAGGGGCAGGCUGUAGAAAACCUGAAAGCUCAGGCCCUUUGUUCUUGGACGGCAAAGAAGGAGAACCACUUGAACUUCUCGAAGCACGACGUUAUUACUGUCCUGGAGCAGCAAGAAAAUUGGUGGUUUGGGGAGGUGCACGGAGGAAGAGGAUGGUUCCCCAAAUCCUAUGUCAAGAUCCUUCCCGGGAGUGAAGUCAAGCGAGAGGAGCCAGAAGCUUUGUAUGCGGCUGUAAAUAAGAAACCUACCUCCACAGCCUAUCCAGCUGGAGAAGAAUAUAUUGCACUUUAUCCAUACUCAAGUGUCGAGCCUGGAGAUUUGACCUUCAGUGAAGGGGAAGAAAUACUGGUGACCCAGAAAGAUGGAGAGUGGUGGACAGGAAGUAUUGGAGAGAGAACUGGAAUCUUCCCGUCCAACUAUGUUAAACCAAAAGAUCAAGAGAAUUUUGGGAAUGCCGGCAAAUCUGGAACAUCAAACAAAAAACCUGAGAUCGCUCAAGUAACUUCAGCAUAUGCUGCUUCCGGGGCUGAGCAGCUCAGUCUUGCACCAGGGCAGCUAAUAUUAAUCUUAAAGAAAAACACAAGUGGGUGGUGGCAAGGAGAGCUACAGGCCAGAGGGAAAAAACGACAGAAGGGCUGGUUUCCUGCCAGUCAUGUAAAACUGCUGGGUCCGAGCAGUGAGAGGACCACACCUGCCUUUCACGCUGUAUGUCAAGUGAUCGCUAUGUAUGACUAUGUAGCGAAUAAUGAAGAUGAGCUCAAUUUCUCCAAGGGACAGCUGAUCAAUGUCAUGAACAAAGAUGAUCCUGACUGGUGGCAGGGAGAAAUCAACGGGGUGACUGGUCUCUUUCCUUCCAACUAUGUUAAGAUGACAACAGACUCGGACCCAAGUCAGCAGUGGUGUGCCGAUCUCCAAGCCCUGGACACGAUGCAGCCCAUGGAGAGGAAGCGACAGGGCUACAUUCACGAGCUGAUCCAGACGGAGGAGCGGUACAUGGAUGAUCUGCAGCUGGUCAUCGAGGUUUUCCAGAAACGGAUGGCAGAAUCGGGCUUCCUCACCGAGGCAGAGAUGACCUUGAUCUUCGUGAACUGGAAGGAGCUUAUCAUGUCCAACACAAAGCUGCUGAAGGCCUUGCGGGUGCGGAAGAAGACUGGAGGGGAGAAGAUGCCUGUGCAGAUGAUCGGGGACAUCCUGGCGGCCGAGCUGUCCCACAUGCAGGCCUACAUCCGCUUCUGCAGCUGCCAGCUUAACGGAGCCACUCUGUUACAGCAGAAGACAGAUGAGGACACUGACUUCAAGGAAUGUUUAAAGAAGCUGGCAUCAGACCCCCGGUGUAAAGGAAUGCCCCUGUCCAGCUUCCUGCUGAAGCCCAUGCAGAGGAUCACGCGCUACCCGCUGCUCAUCCGAAGUAUCCUGGAGAACACGCCACAGAAUCACGUUGACCACUCCUCCCUGAAACUGGCCCUUGAACGAGCCGAGGAGCUGUGCUCUCAGGUGAACGAGGGAGUUCGGGAGAAGGAAAACUCGGACCGGCUGGAGUGGAUCCAGGCGCACGUGCAGUGUGAAGGCCUGGCCGAGCAACUUAUUUUCAACUCCCUCACAAACUGCCUGGGUCCCCGGAAGCUUUUGCACAGCGGGAAGUUAUAUAAAACCAAGAGCAAUAAGGAGCUGCACGGGUUUCUCUUCAACGACUUCCUGCUGCUCACCUACAUGGUCAGGCAAUUCGCCGCCGCCUCCUCCUCCGAGAAGCUCUUCAACCCCAAGUCCAGUGCUCAGUUCAGAAUGUAUAAAACGCCCAUUUUCCUGAAUGAAGUGUUGGUGAAACUGCCCACAGACCCUUCCAGCGAUGAACCUGUCUUCCACAUUUCCCACAUUGAUCGGGUGUACACCCUCCGAACAGACAACAUUAAUGAGAGGACAGCCUGGGUCCAGAAGAUCAAGGCUGCCUCUGAGCAGUACAUCGACACCGAGAAGAAGAAGCGGGAGAAGGCUUACCAAGACAAGCCCUCUUCAGCAGUUCUGCUGCCCCAGGCCUGUGUCCUUCACGGAGGCUCCCUCAGCCUCUUCUCUUGAAGGUACUGUUCUCCCUUUCUGUGUGCCAGCCCCCUGCCUCAGCAUCCUCCCUUCUGUGUGCCAGCCCCCUGCCUGAGCAUCUUCCUUUUUUGUAUGCCAGCCCCCUGCCUCAGCAUCUUCCCUUUGGCCUCCCAAGCUCGGGCUCAUCCCCACCAGUGCCCCAUUUCCCACUGUCUCGCCCAUUGCUCUCACCGCCCACUGCCAGGCCUUCCCCUUAGGAUUCGUCCCGUCCUUUACGGCCCAAGGGAAACUCUGGCUCCUCUUGGCACCUAGUAGCAGCCAUGCUCAGCUAAGUCUGCACUCUUCUUCAGACUUGGCUUCUCUGAAGUCACCACUGACCCCUGGGGAGGAAGGAUCUGCAUGUCACACUGUGCACUCUGUUCAUGCGACAGAUUGUCCACCAGCUCAGUGUCCUGCAGGAUCUUGGGAAAGCAUCCUUGGCCCCCAACCUCCAUGCCAAUGCCAGGCCCCAUCUUCUGCCCCACCCCAGCUCUUUACCCAUUGGAGGCCUGCCCCUCCAUUCCUCCUCACCCCCCACCCCUCCUCCACCCCCUGCUCCUGUCCAGUGAUCCCACUCAGGCCCUUGCUGCUGAGGCCAAAGCUCUUUAUGUGUUUUUACUCAGGUUCCCCCUAUUUUGUUCUGUGCUCCUGAAGGUAUGUAUACAUGGCGUUUUCCUAAGUGAAUGCUAUUUUAAAAGCUUGCUAUUGAAAAAUCGAUGAUUGAUUUCAUAAAAUACAUAAUGACCUCUUAAUUUGUCAAAAGUGCAAAUCACGGUUUUUCCUGAGUUUCUUGUUGUCUGAUAGAUUGCUCUGCGUUCUCUCUGGGUGCAACCCUUUAGACAUGGUUAUUUGCUGUGUGCCUGGUCCUGUGUGUGUGUGUGGUGUGCACAGUGGGGCUCUAGAGACAACCAGGCCAGGCUCUGCCUUAGGGAACAAGGGCGUGCUCCGUGGUGGAGACCUGAGCCUGUCAGGGAGCGGGCCACUGCUCAGAGACAAGGCCACACACCACUGAAGCUGGAGGUUGAGGCCAGGCGGCCUGGGAUACCUAGCAAUAACUUGUCCAAACAGACAAAAUAAAACAAAAACCCUGAAGGAAAAAAAGGGUGGGAAGGCUGCACAUGCUCAGAGACACCGAGCCUCCUUUCUGCUUUCCAGGCUUUUGUCUGCUUGGCCAUCAGUGUGAACACAGGACUCACUUCUGUCCACAUUAAAUAGAUCAAACCUGAAACAAGACUGCUCACCAAGGCCAAGUUCUUACAUGUAACUGAAGCUUUGAUGCGUAGUUCACACUUGACCUUUUCACCUGCCCUUUAAAAACUCUGGGCCUGCUGGGACGACACACCGUUAGUCCCAGCACUCUGGAGGCAGAGGCAGGCAGAUCUCUGUGAGUCCAAAGCUAGCCUGGUCUACAGAGCAAGAUCCAGGCCAGUCGGGGCUACUCAGUGAGUCUGUCUCAAAAUGACACACAAAAAGGGGAAAACUGUUGAGUUGAAGUCAGGUCACUGAAACAGAAGGAUUCCAAGUUCAAGGCCAGCAGCUUGGAAUAGAAUGAGACCCUGUCUUUUAAAAACCUGUGAGUUGACCCCGGUGGUGGUAGCACACGCCUUUAAUCCCAGCACUCGGGAGGCAGAGGCAGGCGGAUCUCUGUGAGUUCGAGGCCAGCCUGGGCUACAGGGCGAGAUCCAGGACAGACACCAAACCUACACAGAGAAACCCUGUCUCGAGAAAAAAAAAAAAAAAAAAAAACCUGUGAGUUGAGCACAUGGUCCUUCCUAAGACUCAGUUUCCCUCAUCUAUAAAAUGGGAACUACCUUGUAAGGCAAUUAUGGAAUUAAAUAUAAUCCAUGUAAAGAUCUAGCACAUGCCUCACACAAAGUAACGAGUGAAUGUCAUUUGUCAGAAGUACUGAACCAACAGCAUGCAUUUUAAAAUUAAUAUUACUAUUCCUAGGCAUAUAUGUAGUUACUAAGCCUGGAUAAUCAGUCUAUGUGACGCAGUGGCUUCUCCCUGACAGAGGAGACUGGCAGGGUGCAGAAUCCCAGGCCCCUGCAGGCUGUGGGUGCCCCUCAGUCAUAGUGACACACAGAGGGAAGGAGGCUGAAGUGACUGAGACUAGCCCCGACCUUGAAGGAUGAGUGAGAUUCUGAUGGGCAAAGACAGCCAGAGAGGCAUCCCUAGCAGAUGACGCAGCCUGGAAAAAGCAACCAAAUGCUAGCCUGCUAACUCCAGAGCAACAGCCGAUGAUAAUAGCGUUCGUCUAGGCUCAUGGUCUGGUUGGUUAGAAGGACACACAGUGAGGGCUGGGAGCACAGCCGCUGGUAUAAUGUGCCCUUAACGUGACGCUCAGUCUCCAGGACCUGAGACAGACUGCAGCCCUUCAGCAUUGCGCGUCUUCACUGUGGUCUGUCUACACUCUCCGAGGAGAAAUUAACGCGACUCAUUUCCUCUUUUGUAGCCCGUUCUCAAAAGACUUCAGGUAUUGGGCGUCUGAUGGUACAUGUCAUUGAAGCUACAGAAUUAAAAGCCUGCAAACCUAAUGGGAAGAGCAACCCGUACUGUGAAAUCAGCAUGGGCUCCCA